AUUGAACGCUGGCGGCAGGCCUAACACAUGCAAGUCGAGCGAGCGGCGGACGGGUGAGUAAUGUCUGGGAAACUGCCUGAUGGAGGGGGAUAACUACUGGAAACGGUAGCUAAUACCGCAUACCAUCAGAUGUGCCCAGAUGGGAUUAGCUAGUAGGUGGGGUAACGGCUCACCUAGGCGACGAUCCCUAGCUGGUCUGAGAGGAUGACCCGCCAGACUGGAACUGAGACGCGGUCCAGACUCCUACGGGAGGGAGCAUAGGGGAAUAUUGCGCAAUGGGCGCAAGCCUGAUGCAGCCAUGCAGCGUGUGUGAAGAAGGCCUUCGGGUUGUAAAGCACUUUCAGCGGGGAGGCGUUACCCGCAGAAGAAGCACCGGCUAACUCCGUGCCAGCCGCCGCGGUAAUUC
rnacentral:rRNA from 1 species